GUUCCUGUGGAGCAUGGUAGCUCGCCUCCUUACCCUAUAGGGCUUGGGCGUGUUCAAGGAAGAACCGGUGGUUCGAUUCCGCCCAGGGACC